rnacentral:rRNA from 1 species
CCUACGGGUGGCAGCAGUGAGGAAUCUUGGUCAAUGGGCGCGAGCCUGAACCAGCCAAGCCGCGUGAGGGAUGAAUGCACUCCGGGUUGUAAACUUCUUUUAUAAAGGAAUAAAGUCAGGCACGUGUCCCUUUUUGUAUGUACUUUAUGAAUAAGGAUCGGCUAACUCCGUGCCAGCAGCCGCGGUAAUACGGAGGAUACGAGCGUUAUCCGGAUUGAUUGGGUUUAAAGGGAGCGUAGGUGGGUUGUUAAGUCAGGUGUGAAAGUUUGCGGCUCAACCGAAAAAUUGCAAUUGAUACUGGGAGACUUGAGUACAGUUGAGGUAUGCGGAAUGCGCGGUGUAGCGGUGAAAUGCGUAGAUAUCACGAAGAACUCCGAUGGCGAAGGCAGCCUACUAAACUGCCACUGACGUUGAUGCUCGAAAGUGUGGGUAUCGAACAGGAUUAGAUACCCGAGUAGUC